CCUACGGGUGGCAGCAGUGAGGAAUAUUGGUCAAUGGCCGUAAGGCUGAACCAGCCAAGUCGCGUGAAGGAAGAAGGAUCUAUGGUUUGUAAACUUCUUUUAUAGGGGAAUAAAGGUAUCAACGUGUGGAUAUUUGCAUGUACCCUAUGAAUAAGCAUCGGCUAACUCCGUGCCAGCAGCCGCGGUAAUACGGAGGAUGCGAGCGUUAUCCGGAUUUAUUGGGUUUAAAGGGUGCGUAGGUGGUUUUUUAAGUCAGCGGUGAAAGGUUGUGGCUCAACCCUAAAAAUGCCGUUGAAACUGUAAGACGUGAGGGUGUUUGAGGUAGGCGGAAUGCGUGGGGUAGCGGUGAAAUGCAUAGA
rnacentral:rRNA from 1 species